AUGUGAUGCUGCCAAUCUUCACAUCCUUUUAUUGGUUAAAAGUGAACUAAAGGAAACAAGAAAGGAGGAAAGCCUCUGCCAAAGCCCAUCCCUAAUCCCUUUACCCCAUCGCAGAUUCAGCAAGACUGUCACGAAAUACAGCACUGAGAUUGCUUGAGCGUAAUCAGGGGUUGAAUAGGUUCAGUUGAGGUGGUGGAACUGGAAAUGUACUCAAAGGUAUUUUUUUAAUUGAGAAUUUAUCUUCUUGUGCGCAUCAUUGUUUAACUAAACCCAACCUCCUGCUCUUGAUUGUUGCCAAUGUUUUCGCUGGCCCACAGUAGCUCGAGGACAUUAAGCAUACCUGUUUGAACCAGUUAUGUUUCCAGCCUGAUCCAGUCAGCCAUCGACGGCUACAACGUGUGUAUCAUUGCGUACAUUCAGACAGGCUCUAGAAAGACAUUCACCAUGGGGGGUGACAGACCAGAGUAGCCCAGGCAUCAUGCAUGCUGAGAGCGUUCAGCGCCAUAUUUGACAUCCUCCAGGAGAAUGCCACCAAGUUUGACUUUAAGCUGUAUAAUGACUGGCUCCAGGACCUCUUUGUAAGUGGACCAAGGUCCUGAGUAGGCGGGUGGAGAUUAAGAGGAACAGAAAGGGGCUUGUGUUUGCCCAGGGAGCAGAGUCAAAGGAGGUCCCCAGCGCCGGGGAACUCUUCACCAUGUUUCAGCAGGCCAGCGCCAACCGCCAUAUCGCAGCCACCAGUACACCCAAACGCCCGCGCCCCAUUUCAAAGGGGCCCUGUUAAAUUGGUUUAGUCAGAGUGAGUGAAUAGUAGGUACAUCAUUACAGACCCGGGCUCAGAGAGGGAUAGCUGCCAAGCAAGGCAUACGUAAGAGGAGAUCGCGGGGUCUAAGCACAAUGACUGGCUCUUUCAUGUACUUCAGGGGUUAAUGUGACAACCCUGAUACCAUCCUUCUUAAUUCUCCCUCAUGUCAUAAUGCUGUUUUGCAGAGAAAAAAGUAAUAAAUAUAUAUACAGUACCA
rnacentral:lncRNA from 1 species